rnacentral:miRNA from 1 species
GGGCCCAACGUUGUUGAAACGUU